rnacentral:rRNA from 1 species
UGGGGAAUUUUGGACAAUGGGGGAAACCCUGAUCCAGCCAUCCCGCGUGUGCGAUGAAGGCCUUCGGGUUGUAAAGCACUUUUGGCAGGAAAGAAACGUCAUGGGUUAAUACCCCGUGAAACUGACGGUACCUGCAGAAUAAGCACCGGCUAACUACGUGCCAGCAGCCGCGGUAAUACGUAGGGUGCAAGCGUUAAUCGGAAUUACUGGGCGUAAAGCGUGCGCAGGCGGUUCGGAAAGAAAGAUGUGAAAUCCCAGAGCUCAACUUUGGAACUGCAUUUUUAACUACCGGGCUAGAGUGUGUCAGAGGGAGGUGGAAUUCCGCGUGUGGCAGUGAAAUGCGUAGAUAUGCGGAGGAACACAGAUGGCGAAGGCAGCCUCCUGGGAUAACACUGACGCUAAUGCACGAAAGCGUGGGGAGCAAACAGG